CUACCGUUUUACGUAGCCACUCUGCCCCUCUUACCUAUCUGCUCUACGUCGAAACUUCUUGCUGCGAAACUGACAAUAUGGCGACCUUUCGCUUGGUUUACAAAAAUCAAAUUCAGCACGUGUGUGAAGGUGCCAAACAUCAAUCGCUAAAAUAUGGGUGACAACAGACAUGAGCAAACCUACGAUGGUCCCGCCGGUAUGCAACCGGAUGGAGUUAUCGAAUCUAACUGGAACGAUAACGUCGAUAAUUUCGACGAUAUGGGUUUAAAGGAGCAGCUGCUGCGUGGAAUAUACGCGUACGGUUUUGAAAAGCCUUCAGCUAUUCAGCAACGGGCUAUCAUGCCGUGCAUCAAGGGCCACGAUGUUAUCGCCCAAGCCCAAUCCGGUACCGGUAAAACGGCUACGUUUUCCAUUGCGAUCUUGCAAAAGAUCGACACGAGCAUUCCAGAAUGCCAAGCGCUGAUUCUGGCUCCGACCCGCGAGUUGGCAACCCAGAUCCAAAAAGUCGUAAUUGCCCUAGGCGAUUACCUGAACGCUCAAUGCCACGCAUGUAUUGGUGGUACCAACGUCCGCGAUGACAUGCGCAAGUUGGAACUAGGUUGCCACAUUGUAGUUGGAACUCCGGGACGCGUGCACGAUAUGAUCACCCGCAACUUUUUGCGUACCAAUCACAUCAAGCUGUUUGUACUGGACGAAGCUGAUGAAAUGUUGUCCCGUGGUUUUAAGGAUCAGAUUCAGGAUGUUUUCCGUACGCUACCAACCGAUGUGCAGGUUAUUCUGCUGUCUGCUACCAUGCCGGCUGAAGUACUUGAAGUAUCAAAGCACUUCAUGCGCGACCCAGUAAAAAUUUUGGUUAAAAAGGAGGAACUUACGUUGGAAGGUAUUAAACAGUUCUAUAUCGACGUAAAGCAGGAAGGCUGGAAGCUCGGUACGUUGUGCGACUUGUACGAUACUCUUUCCAUCACCCAGGCUGUUAUAUUCUGUAACACGCGUCGUAAGGUCGAUCAGCUAACUGCCGAUAUGGCUGCUGAAAAUUUUACCGUGUCUUCCAUGCACGGCGAUAUGGAACAACGCGAUCGUGAUUUGAUCAUGAAGCAGUUCCGUACUGGCUCUUCGCGUGUUCUGAUUACUACGGAUCUCCUCGCUCGUGGUAUUGAUGUACAGCAGGUUUCCUUAGUUAUUAAUUAUGAUCUGCCAACGUUACGAGAAAACUAUAUUCACAGAAUUGGUCGAGGAGGCCGUUUCGGUCGUAAGGGAGUUGCUAUAAACUUUGUCACUGAAGCUGACAAGAGAGUGCUGACUGACAUUGAGAAACACUACAACACAACCAUUGAGGAGAUGCCAGCUAAUCUGGCUGACAUGCUGUAAAUCCAACAAAAAGAUCAAUUCAGCAAUCAGAAAAAAAAUAUCUACCAACAGCAACAACGUCAGCAACAGUAUCAAUAACCAUAACAGCAACUUUCAAUCGAUCGAUUACUAGCAGGCAAGCCGACCACCAGCAUAAAGACGACGACUACAGUUACGACGACCGAUAAGAAAUCUGCAAACAUUCUGUAUAUUACCAUCCGGUGUAUGCGUCGUAGUUGAGAUAAAGUUCCGAAACAAGAUUCUGCAUUGAAAUUCAGGUGUGAAAACAAAUCCUGUUCUUAGUCCCGGGAAGAUUCUGCGGGAAAAAUCUUAACCAAUAUUACAUGUGUACUAAGAAGCAAGCCAACAAUCAUCAUCGAGUUGAAUAAAAUCUAGAAGGCAACCAAACAAAAUUAGACACAAAGUUUAGUAAUCGAUAUCUUUAUCAACUUCAAAGAAAUAUCCUAUAUUCCUAACCCUUGUUUCUAAUUCCUACUCCACACAUAAAUGUAAACUCGUUUAGCGCUAGUUUAUAUCAGUUAACGCAGUUAAAAUUAUUGAUAAUAUCGGUGGUUGCCACAACUGUUUCGGGGCCUCACCUCGAGGCCUAGAUGCUACUAUUUGCAAAUACAAAUUUUGGUUUCUAAGCUUACCGGGGUGAGGACCCGAAUCUGCAUAGCGAAGCAAGUUCCAAUGCGAUAGAGAAGUCUAACGAGCUACGGAUUAAGCAACUAGCAUUAGUAAAAAUUACUUUAAGGGUCACUUCCAAACAACAAGCAGUUAAUCAGGCCACGGAACGACAGAAUUGCGUCAUAAGAAGAACCGCCAAUACGGUCCGGACGUGGUAAAUGACGUUCUUUUGUAUCCUUUUUGAAUUUAAGCUUUUUCGUUGUAAAUUUUGUUUAUUAUACAUGCGAAACAUGGAAACAUCUGCUUUAAAUAAAUCAAUACAGUCUA